rnacentral:rRNA from 1 species
UACGUAGGGGCAAGCGUUGUCCGGAAUCAUUGGGCGUAAAGAGCGUGUAGGCGGCUCGGUAAGUCCGCUGUGAAAGUCCAGGGCUCAACCCUGGAAUGCCGGUGGAAACUGUCGAGCUAGAGUCCGGAAGAGGCGAGUGGAAUUCUGGUGUAGCGGUGAAAUGCGCAGAUAUCAGGAGGAACACCGAUGGCGAAGGCAGCUCGCUGGGACGGUACUGACGCUGAGACGCGAAAGCGUGGGGAGCAAACAGG